UACGUAGGGUGCAAGCGUUGUCCGGAAUUAUUGGGCGUAAAGAGCGUGUAGGCGGCCCGACCAGUCCGCUGUGAAAGUCCAGGGCUCAACCCUGGAAUGCCGGUGGAUACUGUCGGGCUAGAGUCCGGAAUGGGCGAGUGGAAUUCCUGGUGUAGCGGUGAAAUGCGCAGAUAUCAGGAAGAACACCCGUGGCUAAGGCGGCUCUCUAGUACGGUACUGACGCUGAGACGCGAAAAGCGUGGGGGAGCGAACAGG
rnacentral:rRNA from 1 species